rnacentral:misc_RNA from 1 species
GUGAAUCAUCGAAUUUUUGAGCGCAAAUUGCACUCUCUUCGGAGAGUAUGCCUGUUUGUGGGUCAGUAUUAAUAAAAAUCGGUGUGUUGCUUCUUUGUGACGUUCCGGAGUUUGGGACAUCUUAAUAUAUCCUUUAGGUUUUACGAGGCUUAAAAUUGACUUUUAAUUGAGUAUUACACUAGUCGUACAUAAAUUUUUUUUUUAUUCGUCUGUAUUAAUGCUAAAAAUCCUUUUAGAUGCAAUCAAAAUGUGUGGUUUCGUGUUUAUAAAUUUUACA